rnacentral:ncRNA from 1 species
AGCGGAGCUGCUUAGAGACUGUAGAAUUGUGCUAUGUAACGCAGAAAUGCCGAGGCAUGGACGCCGAGGCAAGGAGAAAUCGAGCCAUGGAUGGCGAGUUUCGACGGUUUCGUCGAGUAAAAAAAGACUUUGGGCACAAUUCGUACAGCCUCUUAGCUGCGUAGC